rnacentral:lncRNA from 1 species
UCACUGGCUGAGUGACGUCGGAUAAACCCUGGUGUCUAACACAUUCUACUUUCAUCUCUACCCUCAUCAAGAGGGUGACAUUCUUCUCUCAAGGUUUUGGGGAUACAGGAGGUGAGAGAAGACUUUAUUCCUGAAUCAUGGAAAUGAACACACUGAAAUCAGAUCUUCCUUCCCGGUGUGGAUUUGUUCCCAGGUGUCAGUCUGCAGCGUUGGGUCACCGACCAGCUGCAAUGCUGCACAGGCUUUGCUAUGAAGACAAACCUGCCCGUCUCUACCGAAUUGUGAUGUCUUAGUGAUGCUGAACUUUUCGUGAUAAAGAAAGUGGAAUUCGCGUUUGUGCUGACAAUGUCCAUUUUGCUGGGUACUAACAUCCAAACAAUUCCAAAUUCUCAGUCUGUGUGGGUACAAAGGUUGCUUAAAAUCUCUUUAAGUAAUGAAUUUCACCAAAGUUCUGUAAGUUUACUGACAUAGACUGUCACAUGCAUAUACAUAUGUCGUUAUCAGUGAUUCAUGUUAUUUCAGGGAACAUGGGACAGUGUUUCUGAUGAUCAGAAUCCCACACAGACAGUGGACCUAGGAAGAAGCCCAGGCUGGGGGUGAAAGUUGAGAGCAGAGGAAGCUAUGGAUUCCAUA